AUUUUUUAUGCCAUUUGAUUGAGACUUGAUUAAGUGUCGAUUGACCUAGGCACGCUAUUUUCCUUUUCUGUUAUAAAAAACAAUAAGGUGUGCAUCAAGGGUGCCCGCUCGCGAGUGCCACGUCCGCAAGUUUUACUGUCGCGUUUUACAUUCGCGCUGCCCAAUCAUGCUCGUCCACACGAAGCUUCCUUCCCACCCCACCUCCCUUCGUCGCUAAGAAAGAAUGAGGGAGACAAACAUCUCCUCCCACGCUACCUCUCUUCCGCCGCCACCGCCUCCCCGAGCUCGUCUUCCGCGACGUCGCGCUCGGCUACGUCCAAUCGGCGCUCGCCUCGAUUCAAGCCGUGGCCGGCCCCGGGGUGGCCCUCCUCGAUAUCUACGUUCCCGAGGCCCUCCUACACUCUGUCGGCGAGUUAGAGUUUAGAGGGCGUGUCCCCCCGCUGCUCCACCCCGCCGCGGCGCUCUUGCCGGUGGACCUCCGCCUCGCCAUCGGGCAGGCACGCAGCGCCUGUACGUCGAGGUGGAGGUGCCCCGCUUCCCCCGCGCCCUCUCGGUGGAGCUCCGAGGGCUGGAUCUCGUCUUCGCGGACCCGCGUGGCAGCUGGCUGGGGUUCCCCGCGCUGGAGAGGCUCUCCCUCACGGGCUGCCGCGCCAACCUCACGGACCUGGUCCUCCGCUGCCCGCGUCUGCGCGUCUUCAAACUUAGGGAGGACCGCGGCUCCCACCACAUGAACAUCAUGCAUCAUCAGAUCCUCGUCGCUGCAGGAGCUCGAUGUGGACAGCAGGAUCCCCUUCACCUACAGCAUUGACAUCAGGGCACCUGCGCUCAAGUGAUUGGCCAUGUCCUUCAGCACCAGCGCCAAGAUCAUUGUGUUGAUGUCCGUUUUGGCACCAAUGCUGGAGACAGUCUCAUGACGCUGCACGUAUUCCACCGUGUCUGCCUGGCUUGUCCUUGGAGCCUCUCGGCGGUGAGAUUACAGAUGGCGGAGAACAAUGGACAGCUUCCUACUCACGGCAAUGUCCUGUCGCUGUUCGUGGUUGCCGAUGAUUCAUAUGAUUUUCCAGAGGAAGUCAGCCUUAGGACGGAGAUAGAGAAACAUAUGGUUACCCGUUUCUCUGUUUUGGAGCUACAUGUCGAAACGUUGGGGCAUGUUUUUGGAGCAUUUGCAUUCCAUAUCCUUGGAAUGGAUCGGAUUUCUACUGCUAUGCAAAGCCUUAAGGUCAUCCUGCUGAGAUCAGAGGAUGAUGAAGCAUGCCCACAAAAUUGCCCUUGUGAGGAGCCCAGUAACUGGAGAUGCCAAACUAUCUCCUUGACCAAUCUUGAAAAAGUGAAAAUCGAAGACUUCCAAGGGGAAGGUCAUGAGUUAGAUUUCUUGAAACUGGUAUUUAGAUGCGCACCAAUGCUGAAAACAAUGCCUGUGAGGCUGUCAGAUGAGGUCACAGCAAGUAGCGACGAUUGCUGCAAGAAUAUUGCUUCUGAAUUUGUGUCCAUAUAGUUUUUUUUUUCAUGCAAAAUGACAGGUUCUGAAUGAUGGAAUGGGAGAUAAGAAGUGUUAUGAGGUUCAGAUUUGUUGGGCAUUAACCUCAAUCACAUCUUUAUGCUGUUAAAAAAAUAAUAAAAUUGUGGCCGCAGUACUUAUUCAUUUCGUCGAGGAGCACCUCCAUCCACCCGGGCAUGGAUUACCUGCCCAUGAAGUUUGGAAGCGGGAGUCGGGCAAAUCGUCUUUGUCGCACCAUACAUCGCUUCUGAGAAUGUAUUGCCCACUAUCAGAAAUUCCAUCUAUAUAGCUUGCGUAGGAAAGUUUCUUCAUUCAGAUGCUUUUCUAUCAUGUAUUCUACAAUCCAACUGCCUUGCCUGACUUUUGAACCAACUACCAUAUAUGUAAAUGCAUCAUCUAACAAAGUCUACUACUGCGUGCUACUCCCCAAAAUUUAAUAUGCUGUCAUCUCUAAUGGAUUUCAGCUAGAUUUAUGUGUCUAUGAAUGCGUCCCCAGUUCCAUCUCCAUGGUCACACCGAUGACCAAAAAAGCCAGCGCAAAGUGCAUUUCCUACCUAGCACCACAGAAGUACAUACCCAAUUCUUAGACAAGAUUGCGCCGCAGAGGAGGGCUCUCAGGAGGCCCGCGAUUGCGGGCCCCAACCACUAGUACUAGUAUACAAUGGAUGCAUGCGGCGUGUACUUGCUAGCCGUUCGAUUUUGGUUUCUGAUAUAGUACUAGUUUU